rnacentral:rRNA from 1 species
CCGCGGUAAUACGGAGGGGGUUAGCGUUGUUCGGAAUUACUGGGCGUAAAGCGCGCGUAGGCGGAUUGGAAAGUUGGGGGUGAAAUCCCAGGGCUCAACCCUGGAACUGCCUCCAAAACUCCCAGUCUUGAGUUCGAGAGAGGUGAGUGGAAUUCCGAGUGUAGAGGUGAAAUUCGUAGAUAUUCGGAGGAACACCAGUGGCGAAGGCGGCUCACUGGCUCGAUACUGACGCUGAGGUGCGAAAGUGUGGGGAGCAAACAGGAUUAGAUACCCUGGUAGUCCACACCGU